UACGUAGGGGGCAAGCGUUGUCCGGAUUUACUGGGCGUAAAGAGCGUGUAGGCGGUUUGUCGCGUCUGCUGUGAAAAUCCGGGGCUCAACCCCGGACUUGCAGUGGGUACGGGCAGACUGGAGUGUGGUAGGGGAGACUGGAAUUCCUGGUGUAGCGGUGGAAUGCGCAGAUAUCAGGAGGAACACCGAUGGCGAAGGCAGGUCUCUGGGCCACUACUGACGCUCAGGCACGAAAGCUAGGGGAGCGAACAGG
rnacentral:rRNA from 1 species